GGCUCGUUGGUCUAGGGGUAUGACUCUUGCUUUCGGGUGCAAGAGGUCCCGGGUUCAAAUCCCAGACAAACCC